UCUCUUUUCGUCUAGUGGUUAGGACAUUGGCUUUUCAUGUCAAGAACAUGAGUUCGAUUCUCAUAAGGAGCA
rfam:Dictyostelium discoideum mitochondrial DNA, complete genome.